rnacentral:rRNA from 1 species
UACGUAGGGGGCAAGCGUUGUCCGGAAUCAUUGGGCGUAAAGAGCGUGUAGGCGGCUCGAUAAGUCUGCUGUGAAAGUCCAGGGCUCAACCCUGGAAGGCCGGUGGAAACUGUCGGGCUAGAGUCCGGAAGAGGCGAGUGGAAUUCCCGGUGUAGCGGUGAAAUGCGCAGAUAUCGGGAGGAACACCAAUAGCGAAGGCAGCUCGCUGGGACGUUACUGACACUGAGGCGCGAAAGCGUGGGGAGCGAACAGG